rnacentral:lncRNA from 10 species
AAAUAAUAUUAUUUCUCUUGUGUUACAUUGUCACCAUUGCUGUAAAUCAAGAGACCGUAUAUCUAUAGGUCAGUUUCUGGAUCCUGGAUUCUGUUCCAAUGGUCUAUUUGUUUAUCCUUGUGACAUUAUCUUACUGUAUACCAUUACUUCAUUCUAUAAUGAGUCUUGAUAUCAAAUAGGGAAAGUCUUCCAACUUUGUUUUUCUUUAAGAUUGUCUUGGUUCUUUUUGCCCCUUAACAUUUUCAUAUAAAAUUUAGAAUGAGCUUGUCAAUUUCCAUGCACGCUCACAAUAAACCCGCUGGGAUUUUUAUUAGAAUUACACAGAAACUCUAGAUAUGCCAGAUUGUAGAGAGUUUAUAUCUUUAUAAUAUUGAAUCUUCCAAUAUUGAAUGGUAGAGCUCUUACACAACUUCCAUUAUGUUAAUACCUAGGUUUGUGAUUUUUUGGAUGCUACUAUUUAUUAGUCUGUUCAGGCUGCCAUAACAAAAUAACAUAGACUGGGUAGCUUAAAAAACAGAAAUUGAUUUCUCACAAUUCUGGUGGUUGGGAAGUUCAAAAUGAAGGUACCAGCCAAUUUGGUUCCUAGUGAGCAUUUUUCCUGGUGUAGGAGAUGGUUAUUCUUCUAGGUGGGCACCAUCUUGCUAUGUGUUCACAUGAUCUCUUCUUUGUGGGUGUGUCGCAAGAGAUAGCAAGUGAGCAAGCUCCCUGGUGUCUCUUCUUAUAAGGGCACUAAUUCCAUCAUGAAAGGCCCACCUUCAUGGCCUCAUGUAACCUUAAUUACUUCCCCAAAGCCCCAUUUUCAAAUACAAUAUAUUGGGGGUUAGGGCUUCAACAUGUGAAUUUUGGAGGGACAUAAACAUUCAGUACGUAACAUACUAUAAAUUCUUCAUGUAGGUUCAAGGUUCAAAUGUAUAUUACCCAUUUGGUCUGGGAAUUCUUAAGAUAAAAGAUUAAUAUAGAAGUGGUAUCAAGCAGUGAUGGUAUCCCUGCAAUGUCUGUCAGAAGCAAUAAAAAAUCUUCUCUGGAGGAACAUUCCCUCAAUUCAGGCAGUUGAAGAUUGCUACAAACAGAGUCCUACUAAAUAUAAGUUCACAAUCCAAUUACAAAACAUACGAGGAAUCAAUUUACCAUGAGCAAGAGUCAGCCGACCAAGCAACUGAUGGAUUAUGUUUCAAGAACUUAAGAUAAUAGAACUAUCAAAUAUACUAUAAAAUAAAUAUAUUUAAAAUUAUUAAAGACUUAAAAAGGAAUUGAAAAUUGAUAAAGAGAAUAAGACUAUUAAAAGGAGGAGGCAGAUUUGAAAAAGAAUAAUAUUAAUAAAAAUGAAAAGUAUAUAGUCAUUAAAAUUAAAAACUCAAUGGACAGAUUAGAGACAGCUGAAGGGGAAUUAGGGACUUGGAAGGUACAGGAAAUUUCACAGAAAGCAGUUUAGAGAGAUUAAGAGAUGGAAAAUAUGAAAGAGAGAUUAAGAGACAAGUAGGACAGAAUGAGAAAUUCUAAUAUACAUGUAAUGGGGUUUCCAGAAGGUAAGAAGAUAGAUAAUGGGGUCGGGCAUGGUGGCUCAUGCCUGUAAUCCCAGCACUUUGGGAGGCCAAGGUGGGUGGAUCACUUGAGGUCAAGUGUUCAAGACCAGUGUGGGCAACAUGGUGAAACCCCAUCUCUACUUAAAAAAUAUACAAAAUUAGCCAGUUGUGGUGGUGGGAGCCUAUAAUCCCAGCUACUCAGGAGGCUGAGGCAGGAGAAUCACUUGAACCCAGGAGAUGGAGGUUGCAGUGAGUUAAGAUUGUGCCAUUGCACUUCAGCCUGGGUGACAGACGAGAUUCUGUCUCAAAAAAAAAAAAAAAAAAAAAGGUAAUGGGGAAGAGGCAGCAGUCAAAGUGAAACUGGCUAAAAAUUUUUUAGAAUUGGUUUAAGACUUAAAUCCUAAAAAUCAAUCAGUCUGAUUACUCUUGAGCAGAAUUAAAAAAAUAUAUAUGUAUAGUUUAGAGGAUAAAGGAGGAAUCAGUAAAACUCAAACAAUCCAAGAGACAGAGAAAAGAAACAAAGAAAAGACAGAGUAAGUAGGAAGUAUAAAAUAAAGCAAUGGUAAUAAAACUAAAUAUAUGAGUAAUCAUAAUGCAUAUAAAUAGAAUAAAUUAUUCAGUUAAAAGACAGAAGCUAGGUGUGGUGGCUCAUGGCUUGAAGUCUCAGCUACUUGGGAGGAUGGUGUGGGAGGACUGCUUGAGUCUAGGAGUUUGAGACCAGCCUGGGCACCACAGUUAGACCCUGUCUAAAAAAAAAAAAAAAGAGAUUGUUAGAAUAGGUUAAACACACACACACACACACACACACACACACACACACACACGCACAUGCAGUCUAGUAUUCUAGUAUGCCUCUUGUUUAGAGAGUGACGCAGAAAGGUAGAAAAUACACACCAGGGGAAUACUAAUCAAAAGAAAACUAGUUCGGCUAUAGUAAUAACAGACAAAAUGGACUUUUUAAUACAUGUAUAAAAACACUUUAAAGAGAAAAAUAGUCACUACAUAUGAUAAAAGGAACAGUUCAUUAAGAUACAUUCACCUCCAUUGACCUAGCAAGAUCACCUUAAAACAUAUGUAGCAAAAUUUUACAAAAUUAGGAGGAAAAAUAGACAAAUCCAUACUUGUAGUGAGAGAUUUUAACAUACCUCUCAUAGUAAUUGAUAAACCAAGAAGACAGAGAAUUAGUAUGAUUAUGGAACAUAUAAACAAUAUAAGAAGCUUGAACAAUAAUUAUAUGUGUAAUUUUACACUCAACAAUCAGAGAAUAGGCCGGGUGCAGUGGCUCAUGCUUGUAAUCCCAGCACUUUGGGAGGUCCAGACCAGCCUGGCCAACAUGGCAAAACUCCGGGUCUACUAAAAAUACAAAAAUUAGCUGGGCAUGGUGGCGGGCACUGUACUCCAGCCUGGGCAACAGAGCGAGACUUCGUCUCAAACAACAACCACCCCGCCCCCCACUGAAAAAAGUUAGAGAAUAUACAUUCUUUCUAAGCAGAUACAGAAAAUAUACAGAUUUUGACCAUGUACUGGAUAUUUAUAUCAUGAAGCUAUUUAUGUAAAGCUUAAAAACCCAUAAAACUAUACUAUACCAUAUUCAUGGAUCUUCAUAAAAAACAUAAAAUACAUGGGGGCAAUAGAUCCUACAUUCAGGCUGUAGGUUUUUCUGCAGUUGGAAGGAGGAAAAGGGGAUGGGGGAGGGACAUAUUAGGGGCCUCAGCGGUAUAUGUAGUGCUUAAAACAACCUUAAAUAAGAGAUCAGCUUCCUGUCCUGAUCCAGAAGGAGUCUAACCUCUAAGCCUCUCUCUCUCCCACUGAUUAUAACUAAAACUUUUAAAAGCAGAAAAUACUUAAGACUUGGAAAAGUCAUAGCAUGCAGACUGAGGAAGGGAGUCAAAACUUGAAGAAUGAAUUGUUCAGAGCUGAAUUUCUCAUUUUCCCCCAUUCUAUUUCCCAACUUUGAUCUGAGGGCAGCCUAGUUGUGGACCUAAAAUCCUGAGAAAAACCCUGUAUUUCUGGCCAGAGGACUGAGAAAAUGGAUCCCUGGGAACUAGAUAAUAGGGCAGCAGUCCCCAACCUUUUUGGCACUGGGGACCAGUUUCAUGGAAGAAAAUUUGUCCAUGGACCUGGGUAGGGGGAUGGUUUCAGGAUGAUUCAAGUGCGUUACAUUUAUUGUGCCCUUUUAUUUCUAUUGUUAUUACAUUGUAACAUAUAAUGAAGUAAUUAUGCAACUCACCAUAAGGUAGAAUCAGUGGGAGUGCUGAGCUCGUUUUCCUGCAACUAGACGGUCCCAUCUGGGGGUGGAGCAUGCAACCUAGAUCCCUUGCAUGCACAGUUCACAACAGAGUUUGUGCUCCUAUAAGAAUCUGAUGGCUCUGCUGAUUUGACAGGGGAUCAGGCAGUAAUGGGAGAGAUGGGGACUGGCUGUAAAUACAGAUAAAGCUUCACUCGCUUGCUUACAGCUCACCUUCUGUUGUGUAGACCUGUAAUGGUCCAUGGCCCAGGGACUGGGGGCUCCUGGAGUAGGGGAAAUGCUGGAGAAGAGGGAUUCCUUAGUUCUGUGUAUGGACCAACACAAAUCUUGAGCUCAGCCUCAAGUUGUAUAUACCCAGGACAGACCUAAAAGUACUACUGCAAAGAUUUUCACAACUGACCUGACACUAGAACCCUGCAAACAGAAGGCAAGACAGAACCUGUGAUCUGAACACAACAGGGUUAAUGGCCUGCUAAACAAAUCGAAACCAACAUUCUCUAGAAGUUUUACAAGGAGAAUCUAGAAUUUCAUGGAAUAAUAUUAGAAAUGUACAAGAUACAAUCCAAACUUACUUGACACAUAAAGAACCAGGAAAAUGUGAUUAUUUUUUAAAGGAAAAGGCAAUCGAUUAUGUUAAUCCUGAGAUGGCCCAGAUGCUGAAGUUAUCAGACAAAUACUUUACUUGUUAUAACCAAG